AUAGAGUUUUUGUUUGAUACGUUUUUCUCUCCUCAUUCUCUCUCGAGCCUUCAUCAUGUUCAUGAGAAAAAAAAUGUCUUCAUCUUCCUUCUCCACAACUCCAGAAUGCUUUUGCAUUCUCAACCCUUUUUGUUUCCUCUUUUGGACCUUUAUAUUCUUACUAUCUCUUCUUUCCUACCUAUAUAUGAAGGUUAAUUAUCAGCAUAGUUCUCUGCUACCUAUGUAGAAAAGGAGAAAAGCUUAAAUUGGUGAAGCUGAUUUGAGAUGAAAGAGAUUCAUUAUGCAGGUGAUGAUAUUGAAUGGAAGUGCAUGUGUUGAAGGGUUCAUUGGUGGUUGGAGAGAUUGUGAUGAGAUAUAUCAUCUCAUGUUGACAGAAGAGAGAGAGCACAACCCGAGAAUGGUUAAAGAAGUGUUUGCCUUUGUUGGGAGUGUGCUCUCUCUUCCUCUGUCAUCAUCACAUUCACAUGCCUUUGCUUUCUAGCUAGCUAAACUGGAACAGUACAUGCACCACUCUCUGUUAUACCUUUCAAGAGCCCAGUUUUGGACAAAUCUGAAGCAUAAACAUCGGUGUGCUCUGAAACCACGGUGUGCCAAUUUUGGUGGGACGUGUACGAGUGGAAAGGGAGAACAAUGGAUUCCCUUUUCGUCUUCCUUCUUCCAUGAAGAGCACACUUUGUUGCUAUUAAUGGUAUGAGAAACUAAAUUUAAUAACUCCCUUUUUACUUCUUUUCUUAUGUUUAAGUGUUUAAUAAUUUACUGUAAGUAAUCAUCAUGCUGUUUUAAAUUUUUAAGAGUAGAUAAUUCUGAUAAUGGUGGCUUAAUACUAAAGGGAAUUUCACUGAAAUAGAGUCUGAUAUCAUCUUAUUAACUUUUUAAAUUUUACUCAAUCUUAUCUUGUAAGAUAGAUUUACACUCACCUCUAUAUUAUUAUAAAUUGACUAGGAUAGUUUUGUUUAAGCAGCAUGAUUUUAAUGUUCAUCAAACCAUUCCAUUAUUGAUAAGAAUACAAAUAUUUGUUACAGUGAUAACACUCCACUGAUGGCUGCACUGGGAUUAGGUAGAAAAGGGAUAGAUCAGAAAAUGACCUCUUUUCUUUGUUUUGGUUGUGUUUUUUUGACAUUUCUAGUUCUGUAUAUAGCACCCUUUUGAUGAGCACGCUUAUGCACCACCAUAAUUGGAAGGGCAAUCAGUUACAUACUCUGCAUCCACCCUAAAACCAGUGUAAACUGAUAUACAUAGGAAAGGUUGUUGCUUACGUGAUAUUAAAGUUUUUACCAUUAUCACUCUAUAAAGGUGAGUUUUGGUCCAUUUGGGAUGGAUUUCAUCCUCAAACGGAUUUACUCAUAAAGGUAACAAUAAAAUUCAGUAAUGGAAUCAAUUAACAUCCUUUUGUGCAAGUCAUCCAACAAGGAAAUCCAUUUCACUACA